AUGAUAACUCCGCCUGAGUUACUGCCGGUCCCAAGCCCGGGUAAAGGAGAAUGGUUGU
rnacentral:ribozyme from 2 species